rnacentral:rRNA from 1 species
AUUGAACGCUGGCGGCAUGCCUAACACAUGCAAGUCGAACGGUAGCGCACCUUGAGGUUCCUAUUACGGGUGGAGGGUGGAGGACGGGACCGGAACAUCUCCGAGUGUCCUGUUUCACGAGGCGAAACGUAUGCUAACUCCGCCUACCAUCGCAGAGGGAAUCCAGGUGACCGCAAGGCAUCUCCGGCCCUCGGCCGACUGGAUGAGCGGAGGGCGGAUUAGGUAGCUGGCGGGGUAAAGGCGUACCAAGGCGACGAUCCGUAGCUGGUCUGAGAGGAUGAUCAGCCACACUGGAACUGAGACACGGCCCAGACUCCUACGGGAGGCAGCAGUGGGGAAUUUUGGACAAUGGGCGCAAGCCUGAUCCAGCCAUACCGCGUGGAGGAUGAAGGCCUUCGGGUUGUAAAGUGCUUUUGUACGGAAGGAAAAGCAGCAGUUUAAUACCGGGAGGUUCUGACGGUACCCUAAGAAUAAGCACCGGCUAACUACGUG